UUUGUUUGCGAAUCCGAGCAGGGUAGGGGCACUCUCUCGUCGCGGCGGGGCGCACGUCUCCGCUGAGCUGGCGGCGCGGCGCGGUGCGUUGCGGGGGAGGCCCCACUGCCCCCGCCCGGGUCGCAGCGCCGCCCCCGCCCGCUCUGUGCGCCAGGCGCUGCGCUGUCCGCGGGCUCGGUGGCCGCCGCGCACUUGGCUGGGGCGAGAGGCGAGAGGGUAGGCGGGCUGCUUGGUUGGCGUUGGCGCUCUGCAGUGCAGUGGAGUGUUGCCCAGCUCCCUAUAUGGUCGGGGAUUAGCUCGGUGCUGCUGAGGCAGAGCCAGGAGCCGGAGGAGGAGGAGGAGAAGGAGGAGAAGGAGGAGGAGAAAGAGCGCAGCAGCUGCGGGCGCACGCCGAGCGGCUGCCGGUGGAAGCAGAGGCGCCGGAGGUUGGGGCACCGCCGACGCCUCGGGAGCCAUGGCCGAAGGGGGAGAAGGAGGCGAGGACGAGAUCCAGUUUCUGCGGACUUUGGUGGAGCGGCUGGCACCGCGUCAGGCUUUGAGAGUGCCAAGGAGAAGAUGGUUUCUCCGCCUCCCCCCUCCCAUUGUUUUUCCCCUUGGACUGCAGCAUCCUUGGAAAAAGAAAGAAAAACCUCCAGGCCUCAGCUAGUUGUUUUUAAAAUGUCAUAGCCUUCUCUUUGCCAGCCCCCUCUCCACAAUAAAGUUAACUGAAACAGAACUCAGCAUGAGAGAGAUACUCGUUUCUAUUAGUUUCCAUUAAAAAUUGGUCAAGUAGAUGCCUCAUUUAGCCCUCCUCAUAGAAAGUUGUCCUCCUCCAUCUAAAUUUGCAGCUCUCAAGUGACAGAAGGCACUUGGGCUGAGAAUUGAGACUGCUCCUGUGGUCUUGGGCUCCAGCCUCGAGGGAGGCUAGGACAAAUCCCUGAAUUUGAGCUGCAGCAACAAUGUGUGCUCAUGUCGGUCCAGAAAACGGCGUAGUCCCGGGUUGGGAUGACAGUGAAUUUUGCCUCCACGGUAUAUAGAUUCCUGCUUGGUUCUGCCCUCAGCUGAGUCUGAUUACAUAACAGCGGCAUGUUGCCAAUGCCGUGCCUUUGAUCACUUUUCUCACGGAGGCAGGGGGGAGGAGGAGGACACCAGUGACUUCUUCAAGCACAGCGGCUUGGAACGACAGUGUGUGGUGAUGGAGGCAGUGCCAGAAUGCAGACCCAGUACCAGGCAUAUGUGGCUGGAAAGCAGGGCUGGGCUGUCCUGUAGAAUCAGGUUUGAUGGUUAAAAUGGCAAAAUGCACAAUGUCCCCCUACUCUGGAUCUCCCAACAUCACUUCCCACCUUCUUGGUCUCUUUUCCCUUGACUUUGGGAAGCUGAUCUUAUUAAGGAGCUGUAGCAGAAUAGCUGGACAUCCAAUAUCCCCUCCUUUCCAGGGAAAUGGCCCAAGUGGACGUAAAAGAAAGCCAGGUCCUUCUCACAGAAAUUGACUUGUGUUAGAAAGGUUACAUCUGCACUGGGGGUGGUGGGGUGGUGGUAGCUUCUACCUCGAGGCACUGAUUGUCCUGACCAGGGUUGUCCUGAGGGAUUGUGAGCCGUUGAGUUCCAGAGAAUGAGGUGAUGAUAACUGUGAAAUUGGAAAUAUUGGAAUGCAUUUUAGCCUGGUGUAGGAAGAGUGAGACCAGAGCAGGUGGGUAGUUGACUAAGGUGUGUCUGAUGUUGGCAUAAUUUUUUUUUAUGUGAAUAUGAUUGUCAAGCAGGACGAGGACACGUCAGUGAAAUGCAUUUUUUAAAACAGUUCUUUGUUUCCUUUCCAAUACUGAAUUAGAGGAAAUACAAAUAUAUUUCUGAGUUCCUUAGGGUCGAUCUGAGGGGGAAAAUGUUGAAAAAGAAAGGGUGAGAGGAAUUUAUCUGGAGAGUGAAAUACCCUAGUAAUUAUUUUUUAAGGAUUUGUAUUAUUAAAUAGAUUUUAUUAUGAGUAUCUGUGUUUAUUUGCCUCUGUUGCUUUUUUUGUGAUCACCUGUUUUCACUGCUUCCUGGGAAGGAUUAUUCAUUUCAUCAUUUGACUCUACCUUACAGAUUAAAGAAUGUUGAGUUUAGAAACAACUGGCUCCAUCAUUUUCUAAUUGACCUGCAUCCUCCUGCUUGAUUCUCCCUCAUCUCUUGUGUAGGCCCAGGAAUGUCUUCAGAAACCAGCAUUCUGGUUCAUUUCCUACAAUCCCACAUCCAUAUAAACCCUUCUUUAUUAGCUCUGUCUUUAAGCUACCCUUCUUACGAAAUUUAUCCAGUAGAGGUGGAAUGAUGUAAUAAAAAGAAUUAAACUGGAGGCAGGAAUUCUUGUUUCUGUCCCUAGCUCAGUGUGACCUUGAAUGAGUCCCUUAAGAAAAUGAAGGUUUUCCUCUCUGUCUGGAGGUAGAACCUGCUUUAAUUGCUUCACAGAAGAGUCACGAGUGGCAGUGGUCUUUCAACAGUACUUCAAAGGAGCGAAGAGGGUGUAUUUCAUUGGGUGUUAUUGCUGUUUCUAUUGCACGAGAAAAAUCAACCCUACUUGUGACUGGGUCUUGUUGAAAAGCACAUUUCCCUUCAUCUGACAUGCUGUCUGCCACAGGGCUUCCCCUUCAUCCCAGAGUUGUUAAAUGGGCUCCUGUGUUGGUCCACCUGCAGCAUAUCUGGGAAAUUACUUGACUAAAACCAACACCAGCUUCUCUCAAGCUAUUUGACCAAAAGACUUGAUUGAGAAGGCAAGUUACUUGGUGCUAGAACCUUCAAAAGGUACCCCCCCCCCCGCCCCCCGCCCAGGAUUCCAGCCACCAAACAGAACAUUCAGAGUUAUUUUUUGUCUUCCCAGAAAAUUACCAAAGCUUUGAUUUCUCGUUGGACCACCUUUCCUUAUUGAAUCCCUUUCUCACUGAAUAUCUUCCUUUCAAAGCUGUCCCUCUCAUUGCUUUUAUGAGCCCCUUCCCCAGAGCAUUGGGACCAGCUUUUCUCUAAAGCCAACCCUGCUUUUCCUCCUAGAGAUUUUGCUGCUUCAGUCACGUCUGUUUGGAGAGUCAGGACCUUUGAAAAGUUCCUUUUUGGCUGCUCCUGGAGGAAGCAGAUGCUUUUAUGGCAGGAUCCCAGCCAAUGCUGAGGCUGCAGGGCACCAAAUCUCCCCAGGGAGCCACGUCGGGUCCUUGGGCUGGCAUCCUCUCAGUCCUCUCCCUGUUUAAAAGCCAGUAGGGUAUUUUAGGGACAAAGACAUUUCCAGUCACUGCAUCUUCCUUUGCUUCAGUGAGUUUUGCCAUUAGAGCACCUCUUCAACUCAGAGAGGGAAUGAAAAGUGCUGGCGCCUUGGUCCUGAUCCUGCCACGGGGAUAGGCCUUGGGAGGUGCCAAGCUUGUUUUUUUCCCUCCUCUGUCAUUUCUGAUUCCUGAUUAUUAGAAAACAAAGUUCAGAUCAGCUCUGAGACCGAUGAUGCAGUGUUCAAAAAUACAAGAGCUGUGCUUCCUCUCCUCACAUGCACUGCUUCCCUUGGCUAGCUCAGAGCACAUUGCUGACUCCACAGGAAUGCUCAGGGCUGCUGCCCUUUAGGCUGGGCAUGGCCAUACAGGUAGCAGACACUGAGGCACGAGGCCCUGAUUUUCUCUUUGUUGGCUCUUCAUUU